rnacentral:rRNA from 1 species
CCUACUCCAUUAGGUGAAUGACUUGGCUCAAGUGCUGAUGAAGGGCGUGGCAAGCUGCGAUAAGUUCCAGUGAAGUGCACGCAACUUUUGAGCUGGAAAUCCCUGAAUGAGACUUCUCAUUAGAUCUGAAAAGAUAGGGAACCCAGGGAAUUGAAACAUCUUAGUACCUGGAGGAAAAGAAAUUAAUAAAGAUGUCGUGAGUAUCAGCGAGAAAAAACGACAUAGAGCAAACUGAAUCUUUUUUAGAAAUAAAAAAGAAAUGUAGUGUAAUAGGACCUUACUUAUGAUCUGAGUUAGAUUUAGUCAAAGUUCUUUGGAAAAAGAUACCUAAGAGGGUGAUAGUCCCGUAGAUUAAACUAACAGACUUAUAAGGUAUCCUGAGUAGCGCUCAUUGGAUAUUGGGCGUGAAUUUGGGAGAUAUUAACUUCCAACUCUAAAUACUACUUGAGACCGAUAGCAAAAAGUACUGCGAAGGAAAGUUGAAAAGAACCUUUAACAUGGAGUGAAAAGAACCUGAAACCUAAUGGAUACAGAAUGAUACUAUUCUUCGGAAUUGUAUCGUGCGUUUCGAAUAACGAGCCAGGGAGUGCAUUUAAGUGGCGAGAGUAAAAAUUUUACAAUUUGUACUCGCAAGGAAACUAAAAAUCUGCAUUUCACGAAAGAGAUUAGGUAUGAAAGUGCCUAGAGUCACUUGAAUGCGACCUGAAUCCAGUCGAUCUAUCCCAGAGUAAGGUGAAGCAGGGGUAAAACCUUGUGGAGGCCUGAAGCAGUUCUAGUGUAAAUCUGUUUGUAUAACUUUGGAUUAGGGGUGAAAAGCCAAUCGAGACUGGUUAUAGCUGGUUCCUGUCGAAAUAGGCCUUAGUCUAGUCUUGAAUGAGGUAGUUGGAAUUGUAGAGCUACGGAUUUAGGAGCAAGGGGAAGAAAUUCCUCCCUUCUUUGUCCAACUCCGAAUGUUCUAACAUCAUAGAAUUCAGGAAAAAGCGGCGUGGGAUAAGCUCAUGUUGCAAGAGGGGAACAACCCAGACUAUAGUUAAGGUCCCUAAAUACUGGUUAAGUGUCAAAGGGUAAAAGGUGUAUAUAACCAGAGACAUGAGGGAGGUAUGCUUAGAAGCAGCAAUCCUUUAAAGAAAGCGUAAUAGCUCACCUUUCAAGGUUAUACGCCCUGAAGAUGGACGGGGCUAAAUCAGUUACCGAUACUAUAGACUAGUUUAAAAAACUAAGUGGUAGGCAGGCGCUUUAUUAGGGUAGAAGCUUUUUCAAAAGAAAAAGUGGACCUAAUAAAAUUGAGAAUCCUGGUAGUAGUAGGAGCAAUAUAGGGUAAGACUCCCUAAUAUCUGAAGAGUAAGGGUUUCUUAGCAAUGCAAAUCAGCUAAGAGUAAGUUAAUCCUAACCAAAGGCCUAACAGGUCUUCGGGAAUGGGAAAAAGGUUAAUAUUCCUUUACUGUUUAAGUACAUGUGGCAACACAAAUUUAAUUUCAGACGCUUUGGGCUAAAUCAAUAUCUAUUGUCGUAGAUAUUAAUUAGAGCAAAUCAAGGAAGUACUGUAAUGGUGAGAACUUGAUUAAUUCUAAGAAUAGUAGGCCUUAUGGUUUAUUUGAUUGAUGCCUUGAGCCCGUGAAAAUGAAAUUAAUUGAAUCUUGAACAAUUAUACCCAGAACCAACACAGGUACUCUAGGUGAGAAGCCUAAGAUAAGAUGGUCUAAACUAACUAAGGGAAAUCGGCAAUUUAGUUCCGUAUCUUUGGUAGAAGGAAUCCCUGCGGUUGUGGUCUUAUGAUUGCAAUUACAGGGCUCAGUAACAAGGCGGGUCCGACUGUUUAACAAAAACGCAAUGUCGGGAGUACUUAGUUCAAUAUAUAUUGAGUAUUGAGGCUGAAAGUAAAAGGAAAUUUUUGGAAAAUAUUCCUGUUGAACAUCCAGUACUCCUGAAAAACCUUUAACAAUUCUAGACUAUAAUUCUCUUAAGGUAGCGAAAUUAUCAUUAAUCUCGCUUUAGAUUUAAGAUGAAAAAAAGCCAUUCAUCUAAGAGAAUAGCCUUUGGGUUUGUUAAACAAAUGAGAGAAAAAUUUUAGCAAUGGGAUUAAUGAUAUCGUUGUACCUUGUCGUUUGAAUGACGACGCGCAUGAAUGGCGUAACGAGAUCCGCACUGUCCCUAGUUAGUGUCCACUGAAAAUACCCUUCUGGUGUGCAGGCCAGAGACCUCCAGCGGGAAGAAAAGACCCCGUAGAACUUUACUGUAGUUUGUUGUUGUGAUAUAGAUUCUACUGUGUAGCAUAGGUGGUAGUUGCUAUGCCUUGGCUGCUAGGUCAAGGAUAGACAAAACUGAAAUACCACUCUGCAGAAUUUAUGUUGCUUACUAACCUGUUAGGACAGCAGCAGAUAGACAGUUUGGCUGGGGCGGCACCCUGUUGAAAAGAUAUCAACAGGGCCCAAAGGUCAACUCAAGAUGUUUGGAAAUCAUCUGAAGAGUGCAAGAGCAAAAGUUGGCUUGACUGGAUUUUGACCAUUAAAAAAUCCAGAGACAAAAGUCUGGUCUAGCGAACCCCUAUGUCCUUAUUAAUAGGGGCUAGGUAUGACAGAAAAGCUAUCUCGGGGAUAAUCUAGGAGAAACAUCAAAAGCUUAUAUACAACUAUCACCGAGUAUUAAAUAUGAAUAAAAAAUUUGCAUAUUUAAUCGGUGUGUUGCAUGAUGCACAUAUUAUCAACAAGAAAUCAAAUUCCCAAUAUGGUUUUGAAAUUGAGCAAAAAAAUAAAAAAUACGCUGAAUUUUUGUCAACUUUCUUUUCACAGUUAUUCAAAAUUGAAAAACCAAAGUUAGAAUUACGUGAAAGAAGUUGGGGAAAUUAUUGGCGUAUUAGAAUUUAUUCAAAGAAAAUAUUUGAAGAAAUUGUUCAAUAUGACUUUACAAAAAUAAUUAAGUCGCAAUCAAAACAAAUUAAAAAGGAAAUGAUUCGAGGAUUUUAUGAUGCUGAAGGAUCAGUAAGCAGUGAUGAAGUAAGAAUGUUUAAUA